GUGCACAUUACAUUUUUCUCUUUUCUUCACAUCAAGAGAAAAGAUAUCUUUGGUGUGUUAAACACACCUCUGUAGAUAAUCAGCAGUGUAACCAGUUUAGCCACUGCCGCCAGUCACAUUCAGACAAGC
ensembl:snoRNA Gm22729 predicted gene, 22729